UACGGAGGGUGCAAGCGUUAUCCGGAUUCACUGGGUUUAAAGGGUGCGUAGGUGGGUUUGUAAGUCAGCGGUGAAAUCUCCGAGCUUAACUCGGAAACUGCCAUUGAUACUAUAGAUCUUGAAUUUCUGGAGGUAAGGCGGAAUAUGUCAUGUAGCGGUGAAAUGCUUAGAUAUGACAUAGAACACCAAUUGCGAAGGCAGCUUGCUACAGGAAUAUUGACACUGAGGCACGAAAGCGUGGGGAUCAAACAGG
rnacentral:rRNA from 1 species